rnacentral:rRNA from 1 species
GUUGAACGCUGGCGGCAGGCCUAACACAUGCCAGUCGAGCGGAUGAAGGGAGCUUGCUCCUGGAUUCAGCGGCGGACGGGUGAGUAAUGCCUAGGAAUCUGCCUGGUCGUGGGGGAUAACGUCCGGAAACGGGCGCUAAUACCGCAUACGUCCUGAGGGAGAAAGUGGGGGAUCUUCGGACCUCACGCUAUCAGAUGAGCCUAGGUCGGAUUAGCUAGUUGGUGGGGUAAAGGCCUAUCAAGGCGACGAUCCGUAACUGGUCUGAGAGGAUGAUCAGUCACACUGGAACUGAGACACGGUCCAGACUCCUACGGGAGGCAGCAGUGGGGAAUAUUGGACAAUGGGCGAAAGCCUGAUCCAGCCAUGCCGCGUGUGUGAAGAAGGUCUUCAGAUUGUAAAGCACUUUAAGUUGGGAGGAAGGGCAGUAAGUUAAUACCUUGCUGUUUUGACGUUACCAACAGAAUAAGCACCGGCUAACUUCGUG